rnacentral:lncRNA from 1 species
UUAAAUAGUGUGUGUUUCUUGGUGUGUUUCUUUAAUUCAAUCCAAGCCAUCAGUUCAAAUUAAUCAAUGGUCUAUGUUAAGCAAUCCACACUUAUCCUAAUUUAUCCAAUCAAAAAUUAGGAUUUAAUUAAUACUAUUAUUUAAAAAAACUGAAAAUAAAUAAAAUUAAAAAAUACUCUCUCAUCACCAACGGUAACAAAGGAAAAAAAGAAAGAAA